CGGCUCAACAUCGGAACUACAGUGGAUAAUGGUCGACUAGAGUGUGGUAGAGGGUAGCGGAAUUCUUGGUGUAGCAGUGAAAUACGUAGAGAUCAUGAGGAACAUCCAUGGCGAAGGCAGCUACCUGGACCAACACUGACACUGAGGCACGAAAGCGUGGGGAGCAAACAGGAUUAGAUGCCCUGGUAGUCCACGCCCUAAACGAUGAGAACUGGAUGUUGGGUGCAAUUUGGCACGCAGUAUUGAAGAUAACGCGUUAAGUUCGCCGCCUGGGGAGUGCGGUCGCAAGAGUGAAACUCAAAGGAAUAGACGGGGGCCCGCACAAGCGCUGGAGUAUGUGGUUUAAUUUGAUGCAACGCGAAGAACCUUACCUGUCCUUGACAUGUCGAGAUCUUUCCAGAGAUGGAUUGGUGCCUUCGGGAACUCGAACACAGGUGCUGCAUGGCUGUCGUCAGCUCGUGUCGUGAGAUGUUGGGUUAAGUCCCGCAACGAGCGCACCCCCUGUCCCUAGUUGCCAGCACGUAAUGGUGGGGACUUUAAGGAGGCCGCCCGGGGCAAACCGGAGGAAGGGGGGGAAGGCGUCAAGUCCUCAUGGCCCUUUCGGCCCGGGCUUCCCCCGUUCUUCAAUGGUAGGGACAGAGGGGUGCAAGCCGGCGGCGGUAAGCCAAUCCCAGAAACCCUAUUUCAGUUCGGAUUGGAGUUUGCAACUUGGCUCCCUGAAGUUGGAAUCGGUAGUAAUUGCAGAUUCGCAAUGCCGCGGUGAAUACGUUCCCGGGCCUUGUACACACCGCCCGUCACACCAUGGGAGUGGUUGCACCAGAAGCAGUUAGCUUAACCUUCGGGAGGGCGCUGCUCUAUGGAUGAUUCCGUCGGGG
rnacentral:rRNA from 2 species